UGGGGAAUCUUGCGCAAUGGACGAAAGUCUGACGCAGCCACGCCGCGUGAGUGAAGAAGGCCUUCGGGUUGUAAAGCUCUGUCGGGCGGGACGAAAAGCCUGGGCGUGAAUAGCUCCCAGAACUGACGGUACCGCCAAAGGAAGCACCGGCUAACUUCGUGCCAGCAGCCGCGGUAAUACGAGGGGUGCAAGCGUUGCUCGGAAUUAUUGGGCGUAAAGGGUAGGUAGGUGGUCUCAUUUGUCCGGGGUGAAAGCCUUGAGCUUAACUCAAGAAGUGCCCCAGAAACGGUGAGACUAGAGUCUUGGAGAGGGUCGUGGAAUUCCCGGUGUAGCGGUGAAAUGCGUAGAGAUCGGGAGGAACACCAGAGGCGAAGGCGGCGACCUGGACAAGUACUGACACUCAACUACGAAAGCGUGGGGAGCAAACAGGAUUAGAUACCCCGGUAGUCC
rnacentral:rRNA from 1 species